GUUUUGCCAGGUGGCUUUCGCUGUCGCAAUCAAGUCCACAAUCAGCCCAGUUCGAUGCCUGCUGCGUUCCAGUCGGUUCCGUCCUUGGACUCUUCAUCGUCCCAUCUGCCGUCAAGCGUGCAAAGUUCAACAACUUACAGCAAAGACGAGGACUCAUAGGGUGUCAUCAUAUGAAAAUUUGAAGACGACGACCUAGGGGAAAAUGGAUGACGUGGAAGUCACAUCUGGAAACAACAACCCGAAGAAGCAAAGGCCCUUCAGAUCGCAAACGCCGACGAGCAUCCUCCUCCUCCUCCAUUUUGAAGGAGAACAAAACAGAGAAGAAUACCAAUGGGAGCUGCUCGGAAAUUGUUUCAUGAAAAAAAAAAAAAUACUUGUG